AGAGUAGGGGGUGAACGCGGGCGGCGGCGGGGGCCGCUCCGAGCCCGCGGUUCCUGCACACCAAGGCGGGGGUCGGGGUCGGCGGCGGGAGCUCCGGGUUCUCCACCGGCUGCAGCGCUGGCAGCGGCGGCAGGAAGUCCUCGGGUGGGACGGAGACCCCGCCCCGUGCCCUUGGCCUUGGAGGUCGUGGCGGGGCUGCCUCUGGUGUCCGAGGACCUCUGCACUGGAGGGGGAGGAGGAAGGCUGGACCUGGGGGCGUUCCCGGUUGGUGGUGGUUCCCGAGGGCUGCUUUCUUAUUUCUGAGGCCCAGGCUGAGCGCAGUGGCUGCAUCGGGGCUCACUGCCGCCUAGACCUCCCGAGCUCUAGGGAUCCUCCUGCCGCAGCCGCCCGAGGAGCAUUCUUUAUUUUUGACAAUACAGCCCCAAGGAGCAGGACCAUGCCAUAGAUAUGUGAGUUAAUCUGCUUAAAUACUUCAAGCUACACUAGUCUGCUAUGGAAUUGAGCACCACAGAAUGUGGCUUCAGCCUCAGAUGUGAUUUCUAUUUGAACUCAGAAACCGUGUCUUAGAUCUCCCAUGCAGCUCUCAAAGUGCUUUGCACGGUUGAGGUUACAUGGAAAUGUUCAACAAAUGAGUUCAUGGCAUAUUUUUUAUUUCAUUGUUUUUAAUAAAUAUGAAAAAU